rnacentral:rRNA from 1 species
UGUACCUACGGGGGGCAGCAGUGAGGAAUAUUGGUCAAUGGACGCAAGUCUGAACCAGCCAUGCCGCGUGCAGGAUGACGGCUCUAUGAGUUGUAAACUGCUUUUGUACGAGGGUAAACCCCGAUACGUGUAUCGGGUUGAAAGUAUCGUACGAAUAAGGAUCGGCUAACUCCGUGCCAGCAGCCGCGGUAAUACGGAGGAUGCGAGCGUUAUCCGGAUUUAUUGGGUUUAAAGGGUGCGUAGGCGGAUUUUUAAGUCAGCGGUAAAAUGUCCGGGCUCAACCCGGGCCGGCCGUUGAAACUGGG